rfam:Schistosoma mansoni, Puerto Rico, WGS project CABG01000000 data, contig: 0049
AUCCAGCUGACGAGUCCCAAAUAAUACGAAACGCGCAUCUUGGAU